rnacentral:rRNA from 1 species
CCCUGGCCUUGACAUACUAAGAACUUUCCAGAGAUGGAUUGGUGCCUUCGGGAACUUAGAUACAGGUGCUGCAUGGCUGUCGUCAGCUCGUGUCGUGAGAUGUUGGGUUAAGUCCGCAACGAGCGCAACCCUUUUCCUUAUUUGCCAGCGGGUCAUGCCGGGAACUUUAAGGAUACUGCCAGUGACAAACUGGAGGAAGGCGGGGACGACGUCAAGUCAUCAUGGCCCUUACGGCCAGGGCUACACACGUGCUACAAUGGUCGGUACAAAGGGUUGCUACCUCGCGAGAGGAUGCUAAUCUCAAAAAGCCGAUCGUAGUCCGGAUCGCAGUCUGCAACUCGACUGCGUGAAGUCGGAAUCGCUAGUAAUCGCGGAUCAGAAUGCCGCGGUCGAAUACGUUCCCGGGCCUUGUACACACCGCCCGUCACACCAUGGGAGUUUGUUGCACCAGAAGUAGGUAGUCUAACCGCAAGGAGGACGCUUACCACGGUGUGGCCGAUGACUGGGGUGAAGUCGUAACAAGGUAAGCGUACUACA